ensembl:lncRNA
AGCAGAUAUCAUGAACACUUCUGCUUUUUCUUUCUUUAUAUUACAGCAUUGUAUCUAGGCUUCUAAUCAAAGGGACUGGAGAAACAUGGGUGUCAGAGAGAUCCAAACAUGUUAAUUAAUAUUCCAAAGACUGGAGAAGGAAGGGGCAAAAGCAGAUGUUUCACUGUGCAGAGAAGAACCAGGACGAGGAAAUCAGGCUCCUGAACUUGAGCAUCUUUUCUUUCAACAGGAAAUGUAACAAAAGCUUUUAUCACGCCUGACUGGAUGUAACCCAAAUAAUAAACUGACAUAACAUACACUGAAUGGAAUUCAGAGAUUUGAACCUUGAAAAUACUGAGCACAGCAGCACAGUGGCAGCUGAAGAGAUGAAUCAUUCAGUCAACACCAAAAAGGAUUGUACUUUCACUACAAACUUCUGUCACAUUUCUUUGUGAAAUCAGUAUACAAGACAGGAUCAUCCUUGAAGAUUAUAUCAUCACAGAGACUGGAAAAAAUGAUGCCUUGUUAUGAUAAUUUUGUUCCUGACAAAAAAGAAAUCUAGGCUGAUAAAUUUAUAUAUAUAUAUAUUUAGCUAAAGUUUGCUACUUA